CGUGAGUGAUGAAGGCUUUCGGGUCGUAAAGCUCUGUCAAGUGGGAAGAAACUGUUUGAUGAUAAUACCAUUAGGCAUUGACGGUACCACUGAAGGAAGCACCGGCUAACUCCGUGCCAGCAGCCGCGGUAAUACGGGGGGUGCAAGCGUUAUUCGGAAUUAUUGGGCGUAAAGAGCGCGUAGGCGGUCUUUUAAGUCAGAUGUGAAAUCCCGGGGCUUAACCCCGGAAGUGCAUUUGAAACUAAGGGACUUGAGUAUGGGAGAGGGAAGUGGAAUUCCUGGUGUAGCGGUGAAAUGCGUAGAUAUCAGGAGGAACACCGGUGGCGAAGGCGACUUCCUGGACCAAUACUGACGCUGAGGCGCGAAGGCGUGGGGAGCAAACAGGAUUAGAUACCCUGGUAGUCCACGCAGUAAACGAUGAACACUAGGUGUAGCGGGUAUUGACCCCUGCUGUGCCAAAGUUAACGC
rnacentral:rRNA from 1 species